rnacentral:rRNA from 1 species
GCCUUUAUGGCCACACCACCCUGAGCGCACGGGAUCUUUACUGAUCUUGGAAGCUAAGCAGAGGCGGGCCUGGCUAGUACUUGGGAUGCGAGACCCCCUGGGAAUACUGGGUGCUGAAGGCU